CUCGAGCAGUUUCCAGUACUGGAUUGAAAAGAUGGCCUUUGCUGCAUCUGCUUGAGCAAGGAAAGCCAAGAAACCUUUGCUUUGGAAGGAGAAAAUCCAGAAAGCGGGAAGGAAGAAAAGAAGCUCCCUGACUCCUCCUGAGCCCCAGACAGCCCAUGAACUGCCUUGCUGGGAAUGGUAGGAUGGGGUGGACUCUGGAUUGCUCCCUCUGGAUGUGUGGAACUCCAGGAACUCCUGGUGCCACCUGGGCCGAUGGAUUGGACGCCCCAGCCCCUCCGUUCCUGCCCAGCCCCUGGGUCCGUGUCCAGUGGUGGCACUGCCAGCCCUGCAGUGGGAUGUAGCCUGGAAACUGCAGAGAGCUGAGCCAAGGGAUUGAAAGGGACCAAGCAAGGGAGGUGAAGAAAGAAGGAAGAAGGGAAGUGAGGCAGCAGCCAAGCAGCAGCAAGUUGCUGUGUAAGCAGAGGGAUAAUAACUCCUGUCAGCAGCAAGGUCCUGACUGAAGUGGCAGCUGCAGUUGUUCCUGUGGUGUGGGCCAGUGGAAUUCCAAGAAAUGGACAAGGACAGAAGCUGUAAGAAUUACCCCUAAGCCAGAGUCUCUCCUGGUAAGGCAAACCCAGUAUCCUUUAAAAUU